rnacentral:rRNA from 1 species
GACGAACGCUGGCGGCGUGCUUAACACAUGCAAGUCGAACGGAAAGGCCCUGCUUUUGUGGGGUGCUCGAGUGGCGAACGGGUGAGUAACACGUGAGUAACCUGCCCUUGACUUUGGGAUAACUUCAGGAAACUGGGGCUAAUACCGGAUAGGAGCUCCUGCUGCAUGGUGGGGGUUGGAUAGUUUCGGCGGUUGGGGAUGGACUCGCGGCUUAUCAGCUUGUUGGUGGGGUAGUGGCUUACCAAGGCUUUGACGGGUAGCCGGCCUGAGAGGGUGACCGGCCACAUUGGGACUGAGAUACGGCCCAGACUCCUACGGGAGGCAGCAGUGGGGAAUAUUGCACAAGGGGCGGAAGCCUGAUGCAGCAACGCCGCGUGCGGGAUGACGGCCUUCGGGUUGUAAACCGCUUUCGCCUGUGACGAAGCGUGAGUGACGGUAAUGGGUAAAGAAGCACCGGCUAACUACGUG